GUGAGGAAUAUUGGUCAAUGGGCGAGAGCCUGAACCAGCCAAGUAGCGUGCAGGAUGACGGCCCUAUGGGUUGUAAACUGCUUUUGUCAGGGGAUAAAAGAGGGAACGUGUUCCCUAUUGCAUGUACCUGAAGAAUAAGGACCGGCUAAUUCCGUGCCAGCAGCCGCGGUAAUACGGAAGGUCCGGGCGUUAUCCGGAUUUAUUGGGUUUAGAGGGAGCGCAGGCUGGUGAUUAAGCGUGACGUGAAAUGCCGCAGCUCAACUGUGGAAGUGCGUCGCGAACUGGUUACCUUGAGUGUAUUCGACGUCAGCGGAAUUCGUGGUGUAGCGGUGAAAUGCUUAGAUAUCACGAAGAACUCCGAUUGCGAAGGCAGCUGGCGAGGCUAUAACUGACGCUAAAGCUCGAAGGUGCGGGUAUCGAACAGGAUUAGAAACCCUAGUAGUCC
rnacentral:rRNA from 1 species